rnacentral:rRNA from 1 species
CUUUGGUCAUUUAGAGGAAGUAAAAGUCGUAACAAGGUUUCCGUAGGUGAACCUGCGGAAGGAUCAUUAUCGAAAUUACAAUCCGGCGAGAGGAACGGAGGAUGGCUGUCGCUGGUCCAUACGGGCAUGUGCACGCUUUCUUCCCUACUUUCGUCGUAUGGGCGCGGGGCCACCCCCUCGCGUCUUCAUGCGCCCCUUCGUGUAGAAAGUCUUUGAAUGUUUUUACUAUCAUCGAGUCGCGACUUCUAGGAGACGCGGUUCUUUGAGACAAAAGUUAUCACAACUUUCAGCAAUGGAUCUCUUGGCUCUCGCAUCGAUGAAGAACGCAGCGAAUCGCGAUAUGUAAUGUGAAUUGCAGAUCUACAGUGAAUCAUCGAAUCUUUGAACGCACCUUGCGCUCCUCGGUGUUCCGAGGAGCAUGCCUGUUUGAGCGUCAGUAAAUUCUCAACGCCCUCUCGAUCGACUUCGACCGGGCGCUUGGAUCUUGGGGGCUUGCCAGAGACCUUCCAGGACUCGNGCUCCUCUUAAAUGCAUCGGCUUGCGGUCGACCUUCGACUUUGCGCGACAAGGCCUUCGGCGUGAUAAUGAUCGCCGUCGGCUGAAGCGCAUGAAUGAACCGUCCCGUGCCUCUAAUCCGUCGAUGCCUUCUGGCGUCUUCCUCUUUUGACGUUUGACCUCAAAUCAGGUAGGACUACCCGCUGAACUUAAGCAUAUCANUAAGCGGAGGA